UGGAGGGCUCGAAGAUCUUGGA
rnacentral:miRNA from 1 species